rnacentral:rRNA from 1 species
UACGUAGGGUGCAAGCGUUGUCCGGAAUUAUUGGGCGUAAAGAGCUCGUAGGCGGUCUGUCGCGUCUGCUGUGAAAACUCGGGGCUUAACCCCGGGCCUGCAGUGGGUACGGGCAGACUAGAGUGCGGUAGGGGAGACUGGAAUUCCUGGUGUAGCGGUGAAAUGCGCAGAUAUCAGGAGGAACACCAAUGCGAAGGCAGCUCGCUGGGACGUAACUGACGCUGAGACGCGAAAGCGUGGGGAGCAAACAGG